GACGAACGCUGGCGGCGUGCUUAACACAUGCAAGUCGAACGGAAAGGCCUCUUUCGGGGGGUACUCGAGUGGCGAACGGGUGAGUAACACGUGAGUAACCUGCCCUUGACUUUGGGAUAACUUCAGGAAACUGGGGCUAAUACCGGAUAGGAGCUCCUGCUGCAUGGUGGGGGUUGGAAAGUUUCGGCGGUUGGGGAUGGACUCGCGGCUUAUCAGCUUGUUGGUGGGGUAGUGGCUUACCAAGGCUUUGACGGGUAGCCGGUCUGAGAGGGUGACCGGCCACAUUGGGACUGAGAUACGGCCCAGACUCCUACGGGAGGCAGCAGUGGGGAAUAUUGCACAAUGGGUGGAAGCCUGAUGCAGCAACGCCGUGUGCGGGAUGACGGCCUUCGGGUUGUAACCGCUUUCGCUCAUGACGAAGCUUUGUGUGACGGUAGUGGGUAAAGAAGCACCGGCUAACUACGUG
rnacentral:rRNA from 1 species